UUCCCGGCCAAUGGCCUCGCGGAAACCGCCCUAGGCGGGGAACGAGCCGGAAGUGGUUGCCUCGCGGGAUCGUGCCGUGCCUUGGAGCGCCGCUCGGGACCGGCCUCGGGUCGGGACCUCUUCCUAACUACGGUCUUACGCGGCAUUUUGACCUAAAAUGGGAGGAAAAACCUAGAGGACGGUGAAGGACCGACGGAAAAGACUCGAAACCGACCGGGAAUGACCUAGGAAGGGAGGAGAACUCAAUGUCCGGCGAAGAAUCGACGGAAAAAUGGCUUGGAGACGAUCGGGGACGACCUAGGAGUCGGCUCUAGGGCUUUUUGAACAGUGGCGGCUUGAAAGAAAAGUGUUUUCGAAACGACAAAUCUAGGGUUAAAAAGUCGGAUCCCGACUGCGAGUCGACUCCA
rnacentral:lncRNA from 1 species